rnacentral:rRNA from 1 species
UCUAAUACAAUAACUUUCUAAAACGAUGGUUUAAUAUUUUAAUGGGGCAUUAUAGAAUGGAGAUAUUCUAAUAUUUGUUAGUCCUACUGGAUUUAACUGUGUUCAUAUAAGGAAAGCUACUCUAGGGAUAACAGCGAAAUUUUUUUUGAUAGAAGACAUUAGAAAAAAAGUUUUCGACCUCGAUGUUGGCUUUAGGUAACCCUUGGGUGUAUCAGUUCAAGUGUGUGGGUUUGUUCAACCUUUAAUUCCUAACAUGAUCUGAGUUCAAACCGGA